UGUCUGACCUGACAUUGCGGGAAUCGGGCCCAGGACUGGUGAAGCCCUCGCAGACCCUCUCCCUCACCUGCACUGUCUCCGGGGCCUCUAUGAAUAAUAAUGGUGUUGGCUGGGUCCGCCAGGCUCCAGGGAAGGGGC